UCCCCCAAACUAAAAGAUGGCAUGGUACGACUCGAUGAUGGAGGUACACUAACUGAGGGUCCUACCUCAGGCUCCGAUACAGGGUGAUCAUCAAGGCUCUACCUGGGCAUAGGUGGUGAAGAGGGACCCUCCCCCUCAGCAUGCUCCUCCUCCUCCUCAUCCUCCUCCUCGACUGUAGCUCCUCGCCCCUUGGUCCAACGACCAUCCACUCUGAUAAAUCCUAUGCGUUGAAGGGAGUGGUCAUUAUAGGUGUCAGUGUUCGAUAAUUUGUAAACAAUCUCUCUCUCAAAGCUCACUCCAGACUCCCUAAAUAUCACAGUAAAAGCCAUACCAUAGGACAAGGGAGCCUUGGAUCUGUUCAAGGCCUCCCUCAUGGCAUCGAUCAUCAAAAAUGAUAGAUUUAGGAGAGUUUUGGAGACUACAUGGUGCAUCAAACAGAUGUCACGAUUCGUCAUCAAAUCAUAUUUUUCUUCAUUCCUCAGCCUUUAAGGACUUCACUGACUUCCUUCUCUGUGGCAACUGCAUCUUGGGGGCUAUUGUUUCAAAGAGAGUAGGAGAACCGGUCAAGAGAAUAGAGAAGAGUGAAGGAUGGAUGAAAAUGAGGAGAAGAGGGUUUAGGGGUGAUUGUCACGGAUUUUACAAGUUAGGACUUGAGAUUUGAUGGAGAGCAAGAGGGUAUGCCAAGAGAGAGAGUUUGCUCUAGGAUUUGAGAUGGAGAUCCAAGAUUUUGGGUGGAUUUGAGGUCGGUGGAGAGGUAAGAGAGGAGCCUUAGGUUUGGGAUGAGAGGAAGUGGAAGAGUUAUGGAGUUUGAGUCACCCCAAAUGAGUUUUAAAGGAGGGAUUAAAUGGGUUGGCUCAAAUGAAAUCCACAUGCUCGUUCAAUUGGGACGUCCCAUAUGGGUCGUCUCAUCCAGGAAAGGUUCAGGCGAUGAAAACA
rnacentral:lncRNA from 1 species